GACGAACGCUGGCGGCGUGCUUAACACAUGCAAGUCGAACAGAAAGGCCCAGCUUGCUGGGUGCUCGAGUGGCGAACGGGUGAGUAACACGUGGGUGAUCUGCCUCUAACUUCGGGAUAAGCUUGGGAAACUGGGUCUAAUACCGGAUAGGACAAUCGUUUAGUGUCGGUUGUGGAAAGUUUUUUCGGUUAGGGAUGAGCCCGCGGCCUAUCAGCUUGUUGGUGGGGUAAUGGCCUACCAAGGCGUCGACGGGUAGCCGGCCUGAGAGGGUGGACGGCCACAUUGGGACUGAGAUACGGCCCAGACUCCUACGGGAGGCAGCAGUGGGGAAUAUUGCACAAUGGGCGCAAGCCUGAUGCAGCGACGCCGCGUGGGGGAUGACGGCCUUCGGGUUGUAAACCUCUUUCGACAGGGACGAAGCUUUGGUGACGGUACCUGUAUAAGAAGCACCGGCUAACUACGUG
rnacentral:rRNA from 1 species